GAGUUUGAUCCUGGCUCAGAUUGAACGCUGGCGGCAUGCUUUACACAUGCAAGUCGAACGGCAGCACGGGGGCAACCCUGGUGGCGAGUGGCGAACGGGUGAGUAAUGCAUCGGAACGUGCCCAGUAGUGGGGGAUAACACAUCGAAAGAUGUGCUAAUACCGCAUACGCACUACGGUGGAAAGCGGGGGAUCGUAAGACCUCGCGCUAUUGGAGCGGCCGAUGUCCGAUUAGCUAGUUGGUGGGGUAAUGGCCUACCAAGGCAACGAUCGGUAGCUGGUCUGAGAGGAUGAUCAGCCACACUGGGACUGAGACACGGCCCAGACUCCUACGGGAGGCAGCAUUGGGGAAUUUUGGACAAUGGGCGCAAGCCUGAUCCAGCCAUGCCGCGUGAGUGAAGAAGGCCUUCGGGUUGUAAAGCUCUUUCGGCCGGAACGAAAUCGUCCGGGCUAAUACCCCGGAUGGAUGACGGUACCGGAAGAAGAAGCACCGGCUAACUACGUGCCAGCAGCCGCGGUAAUACGUAGGGUGCAGGCGUUAAUCGGAAUUACUGGGCGUAAAGCGUGCGCAGGCGGCUUCUCAAGUCAGAUGUGAAAUCCCCGGGCUUAACCUGGGAACUGCGUUUGAAGCUGGGAGGCUAGAGUGUG
rnacentral:rRNA from 1 species